GCAGGGCCCGGCUUUUCCUGCUGAUUCAUGCGUUGGAACUGUGGGGGCGGGGCUUGGAACUUGGAACAAAGUUCAGACAUGGAGGGGCCGGCAGACAGCCUGGAAUUCAUACCAGAUGUACCCGGAAUGCGCAAACGGAAUGCCUGGCAUUUAAGAGUCCUGGGGAAACUGCCCAAUCACCCUGCCCAUACUUCCCUACCCUCCAGCCUUUGGUCCCUUGCCCCCUACCAUAGUCCCAGGAGUCUCUGCCGACCUUUUUCCAAACUUAUGCCCUCCUCCCUUCCUCAUGCUUUCCCAGAUGUAGCCCGCACCCCCCCACCCCCACCCCCAGCUUCUUCCAGCCAGCUGAAUUCCCUGGAAACAAGUCUGUUAUGCUGGUCACUGAACUCACAUUUCUGGAUCAGAGAUACCUGUACCUCCCACAUCCUCACCUGGCUGAGCCGCAGUAGUUCUUCAGUGGCAAGCUUUAUGUCCUGACCCAGCUAAAGCUGCCAGUUGAAGAACUGUUGCCCUCUGCCCCUGGCUUCAAGGAGGAGGAGAAGGAAGAAGAGAGGAACCGUUCCCCCCUCAUCUGGAAGUGUCUCCCUCCAGUCCUGGAUAUGUGGCUUUGCCAUCCUCACCCAUCUUGGAGCAGAGAUGAGCAAGAGCAGCCUGGGAAGCAGAGGCAGACAGAAGACCAAUAAAGGACCAAGCCUGGAGACCACAGGGCCCCAUCUGGGCAUCUUGCAGAAGGGGCCCCCAAAGACUGGAGGUACCCCCAAGAGGAGGGAGAACAGUCAGCUGCCACCACCAUGGACAAACUCCAACCAUGUGCUUCAUCCUUUCUGCCUCCCACAGAGAUGUGGGACUACAGGAAAGUGUCCAGUGACUCCAGCCUCCCACUUCCAGCUCUCAUAACAUGUAAUUUUUAUAUAAUCAACCUAAUGAAACAGAACCUGCUAUGCAAGGAGACAUUCAGGAAACUUAUAAAAUAAAUCCAAAUGGAAGAAACCAUGAAAAAUGUAUAUAGUUCAUUUAUUUUACCAGAACACUGCUGAGCUCUGGUUUAUGGUGGGGACAGUGCUGGGGACUGAAGCUGAGAUCUCUGAUGCCUCUAGGGUUAUCAUUGGGGCUCAGUGCCUGCCUACAGGACUGCACACUCCUAGUAGUCUUUUUUUUUUUAUUUUUUUUUUUAUUUUACCAGAGCACCAUUCAGCUCUGGCUUAUGGUGGUGCAGGGAAUUCAGCCUGAGCCUGGGACUUUGGAGCCUCAGGCAUGAGAGUCUCUUUGCUUAACCAUUAUGCUAUCUACCCCCGCCCUUUUCUUCUUCUUAUAGAUAGAAGGUAAGAGAGAAUUAGAGAGGGAGAGAGAAAGAGAGGAGAUAUCACAGCACAACUCCAUAGCUUAUGAAGUGUCCUUCCCCCUCUGCAGCUCCUUGUGCAUGGUAAUGUGUGUACUCUACUGGGUGAGGCACCUCCCGCUCCCCCUUCAUUAAUAAAAUUACAAAGACACAUACAGCUACAAGCCUUUUUCUCAUAGCAGAAUCUAACAGAAAAUUUAAGACCCAUCCAGUUUGUACUCCUUUAACAAAGGAGCACAGAGACAGUGCCAUAAUGUGGAAGUACAAAGUGGUACUGCUCUCCUGGAUACCAGUUUGGUGAUCUAUAUCAGACACCUUAAUGUUUCUAUGACUAUUGACCUAGUGAUUUUAUGUUUAGCUAUUUAUCUUAAGAAAAUAACUAAACAUUUCAUUAAUUAUAAGAUGUUAAUCUCAGCCUUGCAAAGGAGAAAAAUUGGAAGUAACUUUCUGAUGGGGAAAUUCAUUUCUUUAUAGCUGUAGUGAAAAUUUGCAGUAGGGGAUUGCUAAGUAAAUUACUGUAUAUCUGGCCAGAUGGUGGAGUGCUGUGCAGCCAUUAGAAGUCAUGCAGAAGAACAUUUGACCGGAAAGAAAAAUGCUCUUUGAAUAUUAAACAGGUUAUAAGAUAGUAUGUGUUAUGCAAUAUUGAUUCUGGUCUUUGAAUAUAGGCUGUACUUGUGUACAUGAAGCAUUUAAAAAGAAAAGACUGAGGACAGCAGCUAGGGAAAUUAACUCAACUGGUGGAACCCAGGAUUUGUAUAUUUUCUGCUCCUGGAGCGGUGUCUGGCUUCUCACUUGCUUCCUUUCUCAAAUGCAACUCAUAAUACCAAUAGAUAAAGAAAUUUUGUUUAAAAAGACUGAGAACACACUCCAAAAUGUUAAUAGUAGUUAUCUUUGGAUAGUAAAUUAAGUUGUAAUUUUUCUCCUUGGUUUUCCUGUAAUUUACCAUUUUCUACAUUGUGUGUGCCUUCCAUGUAAUAAAAAUUAUAUAUAUA